GUGUGAUGUUGUUGCGCUAUAUUAUGAACUAGACAGGGUAUUAUAUUUAUUUUGAAGUAACGCUUUUAUUUUGAAGAACCGGAUGUCCGGUGCGGGAAGUGUCUUUGCUGUUUUUCGAUUGCUUUACUUCCUCUUCCUUCGGACUUCUGAACGAGAAGGUAAUAGUUCUCCACUGCUCCGUGUUUCUUCAUAUUGUAAAUAGUCUUCCUAAACGUUCCUAGAUACUUGAAAAGUUAACUCAGUAUUGUUGUGGGUACAAGUGAUGUGUUGUUUUGAGUAAUUUUUAUGCACAAUUUCGGUUAUUUAGACGUAGAGCGUCGACUGUGUAAAUUGUUUGAUAGUACUUACGCGUGGUGUUUGCAUUACACAGGAGCAGAUAUCACUCCGCCAGAAAGUUGAGACCUGUGUGUGUGUUUUGUGUUUCCAACACAGGAGCAGAUAUCACUCCGCCAGAAAGUUGAGACCUGUGUGUGUGUUUUGUGUUUCCAACACAGGUUUCCCAAUAAAUACUGAACCGACGGCAUGGUGAAGUGUCUUUUAUUUUAAAAAAACACAACGCAGAAGAAGACUCACUACAAUAACACUAACCUGUUAAAAAAAAAAUUGAAAACAAUGGUCAGUCUGUUUGUCUUAAAUGAGCUAAAUGUUAAAAUUUUGGAAUUGUUUGAGAAAUGUGGCAUUCGGAAAAAGCACUGACAUGGUAUUAUUUAUACACCUUUGUCUGUUGGACCUUUGUUAAUUAGCUGUAUUUUAAAUUUACAUGAAUCUGCUUUUAUUCCAGCUAAUUAUUCAUCUUGGUGAGCGCACUGCCUGUACCACAACUGUAAUGAGGGCAAAAAAGGAACCAUAUAAAGCCUGGCUGGCUUCAACAUUAUUUGCGAUAAUAGUAACUGUGCUCCAUGAAACCUUUCCACUGAAAAAAAUGUGCAAAUGUGCUAUAAAACUAUUGUUUGGAAUGUUUCAGCUUGGCUACAACUGAGAUGACAAAUAUUGUAAAAUUUAAAUGACAUUUCAUGUAAUAGACUCUGGCACAAUGCAGCAAAUGCUUUCAGUUUUUUGCCACGCAAGCAGCGCGGCUCUGUGAAUGUCAGUGUCAAUUUGAAAAUUAAAGUGCUAUUAUUCUUGUCAUGUGCUUGUGUAGCUUUGGGUCUAGAGUUACCAACUCCCUUAAAAAUAAAUAAUGGACACCUUGUUGGCAGCACUGUCAAUCCAAUUGUC